CUGAACCAGCCAAGUAGCGUGAAGGAUGACUGCCCUAUGGGUUGUAAACUUCUUUUAUACGGGAAUAAAGUGAGCCACGUGUGGCUUUUUGUAUGUACCGUAUGAAUAAGCAUCGGCUAACUCCGUGCCAGCAGCCGCCGUAAUACGGAGGAUGCGGGCGUUAUCCGGAUUUAUUGGGUUUAAAGGGAGCGCAGACGGGAGAUUAAGUCAGUUGUGAAAGUUUGCGG
rnacentral:rRNA from 1 species